GACGAACGCUGGCGGCGUGCUUAAUACAUGCAAGUCGAACGGAAAGGCCCUGCUUUUGUGGGGUGCUCGAGUGGCGAACGGGUGAGUAAAACGUGAGAACCUGCUCUUUACUUUGGGAUAACUUCAUGAAACUGGGGCUAAUACCGGAUAGGAGCUUCUGCUGCAUGGUGGGGGUUGGAAAGUUUCGGCGGUUGGGGAUGGAUUCGCGGCUUAUCAGCUCGUUGUUGAGGGAUGGGCUUACAAAGGCUUUGAAGGGUAGCCGACCUGAGAGGGCGACCGGCGUCAAUAGGACUACGGUACGGCGCAGAAGCCUACCGGCGGCAGCAGUGGGAAGCAUUGCACAAUGGGCGGAAGCCUGAUGCAGCAACGCCGCGUGCGGGAUGACGGCCUUCUGGUUGUAAACCGCUUUCGCCUGUGACGAAGCGUGAGUGACGGUAAUGGGUAAGAAAGCACCGGCUAACUACGUG
rnacentral:rRNA from 1 species